rnacentral:rRNA from 1 species
AUUGAACGCUGGCGGCAGGCCUAACACAUGCAAGUCGGACGGUAGCACAGAGAGCUUGCUCUUGGGUGACGAGUGGCGGACGGGUGAGUAAUGUCUGGGGAUCUGCCCGAUAGAGGGGGAUAACCACUGGAAACGGUGGCUAAUACCGCAUAACGUCGCAAGACCAAAGAGGGGGACCUUCGGGCCUCUCACUAUCGGAUGAACCCAAAUGGGAUUAGCUAGUAGGCGGGGUAAUGGCCCACCUAGGCGACGAUCCCUAGCUGGUCUGAGAGGAUGACCAGGCACACUGGAACUGAGACACGGUCCAGACUCCUACGGGAGGCAGCAGUGGGGAAUAUUGCACAAUGGGCGCAAGCCUGAUGCAGCCAUGCCGCGUGUAUGAAGAAGGCCUUCGGGUUGUAAAGUACUUUCAGCGGGGAGGAAGGCGAUGUGGUUAAUAACCGCAUUGAUUGACGUUACCCGCAGAAGAAGCACCGGCUAACUCCGUGCCAGCAGCCGCCGUAA